rnacentral:pre_miRNA from 1 species
GGGGGGAGGCCGGAUCCUGGGCUGUGUCCUGACACCCUGAGCUCCCGGGCCUGUGCUUUUGGAUUCGCGCUCCCUGAGCCCCUCCGAGCUGCUCCCG